UACAGAGGUCUCAAGCGUGUUCGGAUUCAUUGGGCGUAAAGGGUGCGUAGGCGGCGCGGUAAGUCGGAUGUGAAAUCUCGGAGCUUAACUUCGAAACUGCAUUCGAUACUGCCGUGCUUGAGGACUGGAGAGGAGACUGGAAUUUACGGUGUAGCGGUGAAAUGCGUAGAUAUCGUAAGGAAGACCGGUGGGCGAAGGCGGUUCUCUGG
rnacentral:rRNA from 1 species